rnacentral:rRNA from 1 species
AAAUUGAAGAGUUUGAUCAUGGCUCAGAUUGAACGCUGGCGGCAGGCCUAACACAUGCAAGUCGAACGGUAACAGAAAGCAGCUUGCUGCUUUGCUGACGAGUGGCGGACGGGUGAGUAAUGUCUGGGAAACUGCCUGAUGGAGGGGGAUAACUACUGGAAACGGUAGCUAAUACCGCAUAACGUCGCAAGACCAAAGAGGGGGACCUUCGGGCCUCUUGCCAUC